rnacentral:rRNA from 1 species
CUACGGGAGGCAGCAGUAGGGAAUCUUCCACAAUGGGCGAAAGCCUGAUGGAGCAACGCCGCGUGAGUGAAGAAGGAUUUCGGUUCGUAAAACUCUGUUGUAAGGGAAGAACAAGUACAGUAGUAACUGGCUGUACCUUGACGGUACCUUAUUAGAAAGCCACGGCUAACUACGUGCCAGCAGCCGCGGUAAUACGUAGGUGGCAAGCGUUGUCCGGAAUUAUUGGGCGUAAAGCGCGCGCAGGUGGUUUCUUAAGUCUGAUGUGAAAGCCCACGGCUCAACCGUGGAGGGUCAUUGGAAACUGGGAGACUUGAGUGCAGAAGAGGAUAGUGGAAUUCCAAGUGUAGCGGUGAAAUGCGUAGAGAUUUGGAGGAACACCAGUGGCGAAGGCGACUAUCUGGUCUGUAACUGACACUGAGGCGCGAAAGCGCGGGGAGCAAACAGGAUUAGAUACCCUGGUAGUCCACGCCGUAAACGAUGAGUGCUAAGUGUUAGGGGGUUUCCGCUCCUUAGUGCUGCAGCUAACGCAUUAAGCACUCCGCCUGGGGAGUACGGUCGCAAGACUGAAACUCAAAGGAAUUGACG